GCUUCACAUUCCCUCUGAAGGAGAGCUCAAGCCCCUCUGAUGUUUCCAGCCCUUUCUGGCAGCACAACAUGAAACUCAUCUUUUCUUUGGUGGCAACUUGUGGCUUUGUUAUCUAGCAUCUGGCCUGGUUUUUGGCUAUUUUGGGAUUAUCUUUGCCACAAUGUUUUACUUAAAGGAGAGUGGAGAAAGAGGGAAGAUCGCAGACCAAACACUUCCCCUUCCAUGGAUGACCACUGACCAUGUGCCAGGUGCCUGAGACCAGAACAACACUGCAUGGAAUGCCACAGUGGCUCUUGCCCUGCCACUGCACCGUUGAUGAAUGUGCCAUCUUGGGGCUUGUGGCCAACUGUAAAUUUCCUGCAAGUGGGGAAGUUCAUUUUUCACUCCUGCAAGUGAGUUGUCCACCUCUGAACUUUUUGCAAGCUGCCCCAGUCACUGGCAUGAGGAAAAUAACUUUGGGCCAUUCCUUUGCUGGCAUCAGAGAAACCUGAAGGAGAGGCCUGGGAGAGAAGUGGCACCUGAAAAUCUCUGCCUUCUCCAUCCAAGAUGAUGCCUUCAGGACAAUACUGAAGCUGGGCAGCAUACUGCAUCUCUCUGCCAAACCACGAUUACCAGCUCCAAAGCUUGCCCUGCCACUGGAACAUUGACCUCUCUUCUGGUUGCAGUGUUUGGGAAGAGCACAGUCAGCAAUCCUCUCUGCUGAUCUCCAGUAAAGACUGAUAAGGGGGACAGAUUUAGUGUUUAUCCUGUACAGAGCUGCAUGUGCUUUUCCAUCAUUUUUAGAAAUUUCCUUUGAAAGAGCUGACAGUGCGUGAUCUAUUUUAAAUAGUGCUUCAGAAGAUUAAAUUAUUUUUGGUCUAAGUGAAAUCAAUAAGCAGUUUUAAAUAUAAGAUAUGGUUUAAAUAAGCAGAAAAAGAUCCAAUGACCCUCAGUAUUUAUUGCAUGUCUUAGGCCUGCUAUGACAACCUUUAUUAGCUAAUUGAUAGCUCUAUACUGUAGAGCAGCUUACUCAAACCACCAAAACCUCACUCUCAAGUCUUUCAAAGGCACGAGUAGUAACAGGGGCAGGUGUGUUUUUGCCUUCUUUAUUUCAGGCUUCCCCUUCUCCUAGGAUACCUGUUCCUCCAAGUCCUGGACCUUGUUCUCCCUGGCUUCCUUGUGUGCAUCAGGAAGUCUUCCAAGUCCUGGUCUGUGUAGCCCAUCCCUAAGUCAGGUGCUGGUAAAAUCCCAGUUUGCAUCUUCCUUGCCUGCACUGUUACAAACUCCCCUGUCCUCACACUACAUGGCCAAGCUCUGCACAUGCUGGGCCAUGUAGAGCAAUGAUCCUGCCAUACCUCUAGGGAUCACCAUUCCUCUGCCCCUGCUCUCACUGUCAAAAGUCUCAGAGUGGUUGGGUUUUCCAAACAGGGAAGCAUUUUUAAGUUCUUUAUGAAAAUUAAUGUAGCUCUCCUAUGCUAGCUUUUUCCCCCUAAUGCUCUCUUUAUACUGUCUCCUUGCCUACUACUAUAAUUGUGAUGUUGGUACUUUUAUUUGUUAUGUUGAAUAUUUUCUGAAAUAAAUAAGAACGUUGCUUUAUUUGUGGAUAAUGCUGGUCCCUUAUGUAUAGUACUGGGAAAUGUUGCCUAGCAAAUUCUGUGACUCUCAAUGGAAUAUAUUCGUUUCUUCUCAUAAUUUACAUGUGUUAUUU